AGACCCGAAACCCGGUGAUCUAGCCAUGGGCAGGUUGAAGGUUGGGUAACACUAACUGGAGGACCGAACCGACUAAUGUUGAAAAAUUAGCGGAUGACCUGUGGCUGGGGGUGAAAGGCCAAUCAAACCGGGAGAUAGCUGGUUCUCCCCGAAAGCUAUUUAGGUAGCGCCUCGUGAAUUCAUCUCCGGGGGUAGAGCACUGUUUCGGCUAGGGGGCCAUCCCGGCUUACCAACCCGAUGCAAACUGCGAAUACCGGAGAAUGUUAUCACGGGAGACACACGGCGGGUGCUAACGUCCGUCGUGAAGAGGGAAACAACCCAGACCGCCAGCUAAGGUCCCAAAGUCAUGGUUAAGUGGGAAACGAUGUGGGAAGGCCCAGACAGCCAGGAUGUUGGCUUAGAAGCAGCCAUCAUUUAAAGAAAGCGUAAUAGCUCACUGGUCGAGUCGGCCUGCGCGGAAGAUGUAACGGGGCUAAACCAUGCACCGAAGCUGCGGCAGCGAACGUAUCACCCAAGACAACUUUACGGAGUUGACGAUUGACGGAGCGAAGCGACGUCAAAGCGUUCAUUAAAGUCGAGUUGGCUUAGGGAUACGUUCGUUGGGUAGGGGAGCGUUCUGUAAGCCG
rnacentral:rRNA from 1 species